UGAAAAAACGAGCACUGUCAAAAACUCCCUCACAAAAGAUGCUUCUUACAACGACCACUUCAACUUCAAGUUCAAAUACUUACUGAGCAUCUAGUCUGAGAUAUUGUCAAAUAAAAGGAUUGCUUAAGAAAUCACUUAAUAUUUGAACCUUGGAGUUCAAAGUGCAUUGCAGGAUCAGAAUCAAGAAACAAACAUAUAUUUUUGGUGAAGUCACUCAGCUCUCCAAAUGCAAUAGCAUCACUAUUUCAGGGGAGGAUGGAGAUAACUGGACAGCCCACCACUACCUUCUUUUCAGGGUUUCUGAGUGUCUUCUACUAUCAUUCUUUUGAAAAGUUCUUAUAUUGAAUUUUUGCAAAUACAAAAUAUUCAAUUGUAUACAUAAGCAGGUAGAUGAA